rnacentral:rRNA from 1 species
GACGUAGGGCGCGAGCGUUGUCCGGAUUUAUUGGGCGUAAAGAGCUCGUAGGCGGCUUGUCGCGUCCGACUGUGAAAACCCGCGGCUCAACCGCGGCCUGCAGCCGAUACGGCAGGCUAGAGUCGGUAGGGGAGACUGGAAUUCCUGGUGUAGCGGUGAAAUGCGCAGAUAUCAGGAGGAACACCGGUGGCGAAGGCGGGUCUCUGGGCCGAUACUGACGCUGAGGAGCGAAAGCGUGGGGAGCGAACAGG